rnacentral:rRNA from 1 species
GAUGAACGCUGGCGGUAUGCUUAACACAUGCAAGUCGAACGGACUCUUCGGAGUUAGUGGCGGGCGGGUGAGUAACGCGUGAGAAUCUGGCUUUGGGUUCGGGACAACCACUGGAAACGGUGGCUAAUACCGGAUGUGCCGAGAGGUAAAAGAGAAAUUGCCUGAAGAUGAGCUCGCGUCUGAUUAGCUAGUUGGUGAGGUAAAGGCUCACCAAGGCAGCGAUCAGUAGCUGGUCUGAGAGGAUGACCAGCCACACUGGGACUGAGACACGGCCCAGACUCUUACGGGAGGCAGCAGUGGGGAAUUUUCCGCAAUGGGCGAAAGCCUGACGGAGCAAUACCGCGUGAGGGAAGAAGGCUCUUGGGUUGUAAACCUCUUUUCUUAGGGAAGAACAAAAUGACGGUACCUAAGGAAUCAGCAUCGGCUAACUCCGUG